GGUAGUCUAUCUGUGGUAUAGCAGCCGCACACACCUUGUUGGAUUGAAAUCUGUGGAUUUAUUCCCUGUGAGCGCCAGAGACUGUUGGACCGUUCACCCUCACGUUCAUCCUCACGUUCACCCUGUUGUUCACCCUCACGUUCACCAUAUGGGACAAGUAAACACGCACAAGAAUGAACGAGUGUCAAUAACGAGGCGUAAUAAUAUACCAAGAAGAAAUACCCUUGUCUGACGCCCCUGAGUGGGUGUUACAGUACUCAUAACCUUGCUUGCAGCUUAGACAGGCGGGAACAAAACCAAGUAUUCCUAUAUUACAUUGUGUUUUGUCAUAAGCAACAAGACAGAACAGUGGCGGAGGGACAGUAAACUUGUAUUCAGUUAAAUGUGUAGUCAUGGUGAAUAGUUGAGUAACAUACCGCUCCGUGCUUAC